rnacentral:misc_RNA from 1 species
UCCGAGUUAACCUCGGCAGUCUCUCAUGAGUUCCCACCAUUACGUGCUGGCAACAUAAGACAAGGGUUGCGCUCGUUGCGGGACUUAACCCAACAUCUCACGACACGAGCUGACGACAACCAUGCACCACCUGUAUACAAACCACAAGGGGGGCUAUAUCUCUACAGCUUUCUUGUAUAUGUCAAGUCCAGGUAAGGUUCUUCGCGUUGCAUCGAAUUAAUCCACAUGCUCCGCCGCUUGUGCGGGCCCCCGUCAAUUCCUUUGAGUUUUAGCCUUGCGACCGUACUCCCCAGGCGGGGCGCUUAAUGCGUUAGCUACGGCACAGAAGACGUGGAAGUCCCCUACACCUAGCGCCCACCGUUUACGGCAUGGACUAC